rnacentral:rRNA from 1 species
GUGGGGAAUAUUGCACAAUGGGCGAAAGCCUGAUGCAGCAACGCCGCGUGAAGGAAGAAGGCCUUCGGGUCGUAAACUUCUGUCCUUGGGGAAGAAGAACUGACGGUACCCAAGGAGGAAGCCCCGGCUAACUACGUGCCAGCAGCCGCGGUAAUACGUAGGGGGCAAGCGUUAUCCGGAAUUAUUGGGCGUAAAGAGUACGUAGGUGGCAACCUAAGCGCAGGGUUUAAGGCAAUGGCUCAACCAUUGUUCGCCCUGCGAACUGGGAUGCUUGAGUGCAGGAGAGGAAAGCGGAAUUCCUAGUGUAGCGGUGAAAUGCGUAGAUAUUAGGAGGAACACCAGUGGCGAAGGCGGCUUUCUGGACUGUAACUGACACUGAGGUACGAAAGCGUGGGGAGCAAACAGGAUUAGAAACCCUUGUAGUCC